rfam:Ajellomyces capsulatus H143 genomic scaffold supercont2.9, whole genome shotgun sequence.
GGGCAAUUAGCUCAGUUGGUAGAGCGUUCGCUUUGCAUGCCUCAGAGUGCGAAAGGUCGUGAUUUCGAUUAUCACAUUGUCCA